CUAGAAGAACCUAUUUCAUUUCUUCCAUGUGUCAUCACAUAGUCCUCAGAGCUACAUGUCAUCACAUAGUCCUCAGAGCUACAACAAAAUGGCACCAAGAUACUCUUUUAAGACUUGUGAUGACACAUGGAAGAAAUGAGAAAGGUUCGUAUAGAGGGUAUUGUUGAAGAUCAACACCAGCCCAAUUGGUGUUUGGAUUCUAGAAAAGUCUAGCAAAUAGAAGCAGCAAGCUUGGAAGGCAGAAGCUUCUAGAGGACUUG
rnacentral:lncRNA from 1 species